AAAGCUCAGCUCUAACCUGCCCUUGACUCACCAGGACUCCUCAGCUCAGCUUCUCAAAAUGAGGCUCCCUGCUCAGCUUCUGGGGCUGCUGCUGCUCUGGAUCCCUGGGGCUACUGCAGGGAUUCAGCCCUGAUGUUCCCUGCCUGACCUUCAGAGCCUCCUUUGAAAUCUCAGUGGAACCUCAUGACUCCCGGCUCCUGCAUCCUGUAUUCCUGCAGAACCAGCUCCACGUGGAUAUAAGAUGUGACAUCCAGAUGACCCAGACUCCAUCCUCUCUGUCGGUAUCUCAAGGAGAGAGAGUCACCAUCACUUGCCAAGCAAGUGAGAAUAUUUACAACUAUGUAGCCUGGUAUCAGCAGAAACAAGAGCAAGCUCCUAAGCAACUGAUCUAUUCUGCAAGCAAUUUGCAAUCUGGGUUCCCAUCAAGAUUCAGUGGCAGUGGAUCUGGGAAAGAUUAUUCUCUCACCAUCAGUGACCUGGAGCCUGAUGAUGUUGCCACUUAUUACUGUCUACAGACUAACAGUUCCCCUCCCACAGUGAUACAGGCCAUGACAAAAACCUCCCAGGGAGAUGAAGUGUGAGGCUGGGCUGCCCCAGCUGCUCCUCCUGCUGCCUCUACCUGCUGAGGGCACUGCUCAGAGGCAGCCAGCCUCUAUAGAUCCCUGAGAGGUCUUGGUGGAAAGCACCAAAGAGGCUACCCUGCACCCUAAAUUCUUUUCUCCUGCUUGGCUCCAGCAACAUAGACCUGACCACAUCCCUGUUGAACUGGUAUAGGAUGGGCCUAAACCUGCAUGAACUAUUAGGUUUCCUUAAUGUGAAAAAAAUAUAUCCCAACUCAAGAUGUGCCCAGGAUCCAGCAUCUUCCUCUGCAUCACUGAGAGAAGUGACAAGUGCCAAAUAGCCAAGGCUCCUGAGAAUUCCUGGGUGACAAGCUGUUGAGAGCCACAGCAGAAGGGGCCCCAGCAAACGUCCAGCUGCCAGCAAACUUCCAGCUGCCAGCUGAUGAUUGGCUCACAGCAGCCCCAGCAAACUUCUAGCUGAGAACUGAUUGGCUCCUCUGUGGUGAUGCUCAUUGGGCUGUUUCCCUGCCCUUUCAGACCACAGAGCUGCUCAUUGGGGGACUUUUUUGGCUCCGCCCACACGACCCAGCCAAUUGGCCUCAAGAGCAGGAGGAGUGGGGGAGGUUGAGAGGCUUGUGGGAAGCCAGUGGUGGCAGUUGGGCUCUGAGGGUUUUUCCUGAAGAGCUGUGUGGUGUGGUGUGUGUGUUCUAAAAAUAAAGUUCGUUUCUUUUGACAAGUGGCUCCUGAAUUGUGCCCAGCCAGACUGCGGC